rnacentral:rRNA from 1 species
UCCCGAAUUUAAAAGAGUUAUAAUUAUUUGUUUAUUUAUUGUGGAAAAAAUAUAAUUAAAAUAAUUAUUGUAAUGAAAUGUUAUUCGUUUUUAAAUUUAUCUGGUUUUCUAAGAAAUAAAUUUAAUUUAUUUAUUUUUAACAAUUUUUUAAUUUAUAAAUAUUUGUUAAAAAUAUAUAAUUUUUUAAGGGAUUAGCUUUUUAAAAAAUUAAUUAUUAAUUAUUUAUUUAAAUUUUUUAUUGAUGAAUAAGAAUUUCUUUUUUUUUGUAUUUUAUAAUUAGGAAAAUUUUGUUUAUUAUUUAAAUUUUUUAUAAUUUUUAUAUUAGAAUGUAUUUUGAAAUUUUUUAUAUAUAGUAAUAAUGUUAAAAUUAGUAAUUUUUUUGUGAUUUUAUAUUUUUUGAGAGAUUAAUAAAAGGAACUCGGCAAAAAUUAUUGUUCACCUGUUUAAUAAAAACAUGUCCUAUUAGUUUGAAGAUUUUAGGUCUGACCUGCCCAAUGAUUAUAAUUUAAUGGCCGCAGUAAUUUGACUGUGCUAAGGUAGCAUAAUCAUUAGUUUUUUAAUUGAAAACUGGAAUGAAAGGUUGGAUGAGAUAAUAACUGUCUCUUAUUAAUAUAUUGAAUUUUACUUUUAAGUAAAAAGGCUUAAAUUUAAUUAAAAGACGAGAAGACCCUUUAGAUUUUUAUAUAUUUUUAUUAAUUAAUUUUUUGGUAUAUAUUUUAAUUUUUUAAAUUAUAUUUGAUUGGGGUGAUUAUUAAAUUAAUUUAACUUUAAUUUUAAAAAACAGAGAUUUUUGGUUUAAUUUGAUCCAGAUUUUUUGAUUAAUAGAUAAAAUUACCUAAGGGAUAACAGCGUAAUUUUUUUAGAGAGUUCUAAUCGAUAAAAAAGAUUGCGACCUCGAUGUUGGAUUAAAGUGUGAAAUUGGUGUAGAAGCUAAUUUAUUUAGUCUGUUCGACUAUUAAAACUUUACAUGAUCUGAGUUUAGACCGGCGUGAGCCAGGUUGGUUUCUAUCUUUAAUUAAUUAAAAUGUUUUAGUACGAAAGGACCAG